UUGCCAGCCCGCUCAGAAACUCAAAUGAAUUGACGGGGCCCGCACAAGCGGUGGAGUAUGUGGUUAAUUCGAUGCAACGCGAAGAACCUUACCUGGUCUUGACAUCCCGGAGACCCUUAGGAAACUAGGGGGUGCUUCCAUCUGGAAGAAUCUGGAGACAGGUGCUGCAUGGCUGUCGUCAGCUCGUGUCGUGAGAUGUUGGGUUAAGUCCCGCAACGAGCGCAACCCUUGCCUUUAGUUGCCAGCAGUUCGGCUGGGCACUCUAAAGGGACUGCCGGUGUUAAACCGGAGGAAGGUGGGGAUGACGUCAAGUCCUCAUGGCCUUUAUGACCAGGGCUACACACGUACUACAAUGGCCGAUACAAAGGGCAGCGACACUGCGAGGUGAAGCCAAUCCCGUAAAAUCGGUCUCAGUCCGGAUUGGAGUCUGCAACUCGACUCCAUGAAGUUGGAAUCGCUAGUAAUCGUGGAUCAGCACGCCACGGUGAAUACGUUCCCGGGCCUU
rnacentral:rRNA from 1 species